UACGUAGGGUCCGAGCGUUGUCCGGAAUUACUGGGCGUAAAGAGCUCGUAGGUGGUUUGUCGCGUUGUUCGUGAAAACUCACAGCUCAACUGUGGGCGUGCGGGCGAUACGGGCAGACUUGAGUACUGCAGGGGAGACUGGAAUUCCUGGUGUAGCGGUGGAAUGCGCAGAUAUCAGGAAGAACACCCGUGGCGAAGGCGGCUCCUCUGGGACGGUACUGACGCUGAGACGGCGAAAGCGUGGGGAGCGAACAGG
rnacentral:rRNA from 1 species